GCUGGGAUAGCUCGGUCGGUAAAGCAUAAGACUCCUAAUUUCAAGGUUGUGGGUUCAAGCCUCAUGUUGGGCA